AACUCCAGUGAUUCUCUUCAGGAACACUGUUGAAACCUAUGACCCAGAACUUUCCAAAAGAAGAAAAAGUGAGGAUCAUUAUCUAGCUUCACGUAAACAAAAUGGGGAAGCCAAUGGAUCCUCCAAAAUGUAUGCAGAGAGAGAUUAUAAAGAGAAAUCUAAACAACAGAGUCACUCCUCUAAGAGCAAGGAACAGUUUAAUGAAACAGAUGGAUCUCCAAAACUGAAGAUGAAAGAAAAGAGAGACAAAUCAUAUCCUU